rnacentral:snRNA from 1 species
AAUAAAAAUGAAGGAAAAAGAGU